rnacentral:tRNA from 1 species
UCAUUAGAUAACUUAAAGCAAGUACUGGUCUCUUAAACCACUUAAUAGUAAAUUAGCGCUUACUUCUAAUG